GUUUCUGGCCCCAGAAGCCUGGUUCUUGGCCUAGUUGUAAGGCUUUGAGACUUUGUCUAGAUUUGUAGGCCUCAAAGCCUCGUUCCCGGCCUAGUUCAAGGGGCUUUGAGCCUGUGUCUUGAGUUUCUGGCCUCAGAAGCCUGGUUCUUGGCCUAGUUGUUAGGCCCGGAGCCUGGGCCUGGAUUAG